CCUUUCGUACCUUAGUGGUCAGAACGUUGGUCCGUAAAGCCAAAGGUCCCGGGUUCGUUCCCCGGCGAGGGUG
rnacentral:tRNA from 1 species